rnacentral:rRNA from 1 species
UUCGGACAACUAAUUGACCAUUUGACCUCAAAUCACGUAGGACUACCCGCUGAACUUAAGCAUAUCAAUAAGCGGAGGAAAAGAAACUAACAAGGAUUCCCCUAGUAACUGCGAGUGAAGAGGGAAAAGCUCAAAUUUAAAAUCUGGCAGCUUCGCUGUCCGAGUUGUAAU